AUAUGAUACAAACUUAGGAUUAUAUAUAUAUAUAUAUAACUUUAUAAUAUGAUACAAAGUUGAAUUGUUUUUAAUGAGUUGGAGACUGUUAAUUAAACUCCGAAAAUUAAAUGAUGACUUUAUAAUGAAAGGUGAGAUUUAUAGCAUGAUACUAACUUAACCCUCUUAAGGUGACUCAAAUCUUAUUUCAAUGCAAGAUUAUAUACACUAUAUGGUAUUUGACAGAUGUAUAUUGUUCCAGGGAACUCUUUGUUUUAACAUUAAGUAUGUGCAGUGUACUACCUUAACCUGUUAGAUAAGUGCUAACUUUCAAUUGUCAUUUUGAAAAUUGUUUUUGGCCCCAGUUUCAUCAGUAUUGCCUACUUCAGCUAGCUCAAGGAGUCUAGCUGAUUGUUUAUUGUGGGGUCAACCAAUAAGGUGCCAGUCAUUUCACUGUGUAAACGACAACAUUGUUUGAGUAGGAACGUUGAUGAAACCAGGGAUGGAUCAGUCAAAUAAAACUGAUAUACUGGCAUUGGUAAUCCAUACAUAGAACAGUGUGUACAGUAUUGUGUCAGUAGUAGUUAUUAGGUAUAUACAAAGGUUGUCAGGAUGUCUUCAGAUCGUCCUUACAGUACAGUACACUGUGUACAGUAUAUAGUGUGUACAGUACAGUGUGUACAGUAUUGUGUCAGUAGUAGUUAUUAGGUACAUACAAAGGUUGUCAGGAUGUCUUCAGAUCGUCCCUCCAGUACAGUACACUGUGUACAGUAUAUAGUGUGUACAGUACAGUGUGUACAGUAUUGUGUCAGUAGUAGUUAUUAGGUAUAUACAAAGGUUGUCAGGAUGUCUUCAGAUCGUCCCUCCAGUACAGUACACUGUGUACAGUAUAUAGUGUGUACAGUACAGUGUGUACAGUAUAUAGUGUGUACAGUACAGUGUGUACAGUAUUGUGUCAGUAGUAGUUAUUAGGUAUAUAUUGUAGUACGGUGUGUACAGUAUUGUGUCAGUAGUAGUUAUUAGGUAUAUACAAAGGUUGUCAGGAUGUCUUCAGAUCGUCCCUCCAGUACAGUACACUGUGUACAGUAUAUAGUGUGUACAGUACAGUGUGUACAGUAUUGUGUCAGUAGUAGUUAUUAGGUAUAUACAAAGGUUGUCAGGAUGUUUUCAGAUUGUCCUUUCAGUAACAGCUAGCUAACCUAGUGAUCUGAAUCAUUAGGUGAAGUUUGAAGUCAUUAGAUCCACACACUGUGUGGACUCGAGUAUACUAUAUGUAGAUGAUAUUGUAGUACAUUCUAUUAGUUUAUUUAUACGCCGUUAGGCUUGUGUGAUAGGUCUGUUCAUACCGUACUUCAGAAUGAGCUUAGGAAUGUCGGACUAUGAUAGGUUUGUCAUACAAAUAUACAUAUCGGUUAGCUGUAGGCAAGGUCUUUUAUAGAAAUACACGUACCUCCAACAGUAAACUUGUGAUAUUAUAAUAGGUGGUUUGAUAGAAGUACACAUUUUUAUUUAAUUAGGACUGAAGUGAACUAGAUUACAUUGAUUUUGUGUCACAUUUUUAAUAGAUGUUCAACAGAUAUAAUCUGUACAUUUGUGAAGAAUUAUUGUUGAAACUUUAAAAAUUCUUGUCUGAUAACAGACAAUAAAAUUAACUGUUAUAUGAUCAUAGGAAUACAAAAUGUAUAAGUUGUAAAAAAUGUUGAUGAAAUGGAACACAAGGGCGAGAUCAUGUUUCAAGAAAAACUGCUGAUCAAGUGUAAAUUUACUAACUUCUGUUACGUACUGUUAUUAAACUUGAUAUUAAAUUCUGUAACUUUAUAAAAUAAUAAAAGUAUUAUCAACAAA